GACAGAGGUGCCAAGCGUUAGGCGGAAUCACUGGGCUUAAAGCGUGUGUAGGCGGCGGCGUAAGUACCUUGUGAAAUCCCACGGCUCAACCGUGGAACUGCUCGGUAUACUGCGUCGCUUGAGCCAGCUAGGGGCGACCGGAACAAACGGUGGAGCGGUGAAAUGCGUAGAGAUCCGGAAGAACACCGGUGGCGAAGGCGGUCUGCUGGGGUCGAACUGACGCUGAGGCGCGACAGCGUGGGGAGCAAACAGG
rnacentral:rRNA from 1 species